UACGUAGGGGGCAAGCGUUGUCCGGAUUUAUUGGGCGUAAAGAGCGUGUAGGCGGCUAUACAGGUCCGUUGUGAAAACUCGAGGCUCAACCUCGAGACGUCGAUGGAAACCGUAUGGCUAGAGUCCGGAAGAGGAGAGUGGAAUUCCUGGUGUAGCGGUGAAAUGCGCAGAUAUCAGGAAGAACACCCGUGGCGAAGGCGGCUCUCUGGGACGGUACUGACGCUGAGACGCGAAAGCGUGGGGAGCGAACAGG
rnacentral:rRNA from 1 species